rnacentral:rRNA from 1 species
UACGUAGGGUGCAAGCGUUGUCCGGAAUUAUUGGGCGUAAAGAGCUCGUAGGCGGUGUGUCGCGUCGGCCGUGAAAACCUGGGGCUCAACUCUGGGCGUGCGGUCGAUACGGGCAUCACUUGAGUUCGGCAGGGGAGACUGGAAUUCCUGGUGUAGCGGUGAAAUGCGCAGAUAUCAGGAGGAACACCGGUGGCGAAGGCGGGUCUCUGGGCCGAUACUGACGCUGAGGAGCGAAAGCAUGGGGAGCGAACAGG